rnacentral:rRNA from 1 species
CCCUUAGAUGUUCUGGGCCGCGCGCGCGCUACACUGAUGCAUUCAACGAGUGUACCUUGGCCGAGAGGCCUGGGCAAUCUUUUGAACGUGCAUCGUGAUAGGGAUAGAUUAUUGCAAUUAUUAAUCUUGAACGAGGAAUUCCUAGUAAACGCAGAUCAUCAAUCUGCAUUGAUUACGUCCCUGCCCUUUGUACACACCGCCCGUCGCACCUACCGAUUGGAUGGUCCGGUGAAGCCUCGGGAUUGUGGCGGUUGCCUUUAUUGGUGUCCGCCGCGAGAACUUGUCUAAACCUUAUCAUCUAGAGGAAGGUGAAGUCGUAACA